rnacentral:rRNA from 1 species
CUGGCGGUCUGCUUACACAUGCAAGUCGAACGGAAUCCUUCGGGAUUUAGUGGCGGACGGGUGAGUAACACGUAAGAACCUGCCUCUAGGACGGGGACAACAGUUGGAAACGACUGCUAAACCCGGAUGAGCCGAAAGGUAAAAGAUUAAUCGCCUAGAGAGGGGCUUGCGUCUGAUUAGCUAGUUGGUGAGGUAAGAGCCCACCAAGGCGACGAUCAGUAGCUGGUCUGAGAGGAUGAUCAGCCACACUGGGACUGAGACACGGCCCAGACUCCUACGGGAGGCAGCAGUGGGGAAUUUUCCGCAAUGGGCGAAAGCCUGACGGAGCAAGACCGCGUGGGGGAGGAAGGUUCUUGGAUUGUCAACCCCUUUUCUCAGGGAAGAACACAAUGACGGUACCUGAGGAAAAAGCAUCGGCUAACUCCGUGCCAGCAGCCGCGGUAAUACGGGGGAUGCAAGCGUUAUCCGGAAUGAUUGGGCGUAAAGAGUCCGUAGGUAGUCAUCCAAGUCUGCUGUUAAAGAGCGAGGCUUAACCUCGUAAAGGCAGUGGAAACUGGAAGACUAGAGUGUAGUAGGGGCAGAGGGAAUUCCUGGUGUAGCGGUGAAAUGCGUAGAGAUCAGGAAGAACACCGGUGGCGAAGGCGCUCUGCUGGGCUAUAACUGACACUGAGGGACGAAAGCUAGGGGAGCGAAUGGGAUUAGAUACCCCAGUAGUCCUAGCGGUAAACGAUGGAAACUAGGUGUGGCCUGUAUCGACCCGGGCCGUGCCGAAGCAACGCGUUAAG